rnacentral:lncRNA from 1 species
GCUUUUCAAUAUACCGAGCCAUUAGAGUUCUAUUUCCUGAACAUAAUACUUCUUGCCAAUCGAACCGUUCGUACAUCUUCAAAGAACAGCGAUGAAGCUCGUCUUCGCGUACUUACUUGCUUUGGCUUUGGCCAUAACUGUCACAGAAGGCAUAGUGUGUCCUCGUGAUUACUGUGCCACUGCUAAUUGCACAAAUGUGACCGAAGAAGAAUGCGAAGCGCAAAACAAGUCGUACGACCCCAGCGGUAGCUUUUGCGGAUGCUGCUCUACCUGUCUCACCAUACUUCACGAAGGAGAAAGCUGUACUAUCACACGGUUGAGGGGAGAGCCACCCACAGCGACAUGCGAAGACGGCACCACGUGCCAACAGGUUGGGAACAGCUCUACGUACGAGUGUCAGUCGACUUCGUGAAAUUUCUAUUAACCCUUCCAGAAGACAGCAAAGGCAGCAGUCACGCGACUCUACGCAGACGUGUGCGAUUAACAAAACGCAAAACCCAAUUCAUCUGACCUUCCUACGAUGAGCGUUACUUAUACAUUGAUACCUCUUUAAUGUUUCAAUGAAAUACGAAAUACCAAAUGAAUAAAUAUAUAAUGAAAACAUUA